GGAGUUGUGGCUCAGUGGUAGAGUGCUUGCCUGGCAUGUAUGAGGCCCUGGAUUCGAUCCUCAGCACUGCUU
rfam:Ictidomys tridecemlineatus contig042565, whole genome shotgun sequence.